GAAGCAUUGUUUUGGCGGGAGAACGCUGCCUUUCCCGCAGUCGCCGCAGAAAGGUUGAAAGAAAGAAAAAGAAAGAAAGAAGGACGAGGAAGAGACGGAAAAUUGAGUCUGAAAUUUUUCUUAAGGUAAUCAGGCUCGACCUAAUCAUUGACUGAAAAAAAUGAAGGCAUUUGGAACAGGACCUGGUCGCGGGGUCAUCUAUGAAGACUCUUCCUCCAUAGCAUCAGGUAAAGCCCUUUCACCCUCAACCAACUUUCUCUUCCUUCUUUUUCUCUGGUAUUUUGCCGUCCUGCGGUGUCUUAGGAGGCUGAUGUUCAUUAUGGGGCAGUACUGACCGUCACACUCCCCUCAGACACACAGACAAACCCUC